rnacentral:rRNA from 1 species
AUUGAACGCUGGCGGCAGGCCUAACACAUGCAAAUCGGACGGUAGCACAGAGAGCUUGCUCUCGGGUGACGAGUGGCGGACGGGUGAGUAAUGUCUGGGGAUCUGCCCGAUAGAGGGGGAUAACCACUGGAAACGGUGGCUAAUACCGCAUAACGUCACAAGACCAAAGAGGGGGACCUUCGGGCCUCUCACUAUCGGAUGAACCCAGAUGGGAUUAGCUAGUAGGCGGGGUAACGGCCCACCUAGGCGACGAUCCCUAGCUGGUCUGAGAGGAUGACCAGCCACACUGGAACUGAGACACGGUCCAGACUCCUACGGGAGGCAGCAGUGGGGAAUAUUGCACAAUGGGCGCAAGCCUGAUGCAGCCAUGCCGCGUGUAUGAAGAAGGCCUUCGGGUUGUAAAGUACUUUCAGCGGGGAGGAAGGCGAUGUGGUUAAUAACCGCGUCGAUUGACGUUACCCGCAGAAGAAGCACCGGCUAACUCCGUGCCAGCCGCCGCAGUAA